AUUGAACGCUGGCGGCAGGCCUAACACAUGCAAGUCGAGCGGAGCGGCGGACGGGUGAGUAAUGCCUAGGAAUCAGCCUGGUAGUGGGGGAUAACGUCCGGCAACGGGCGCUAAUUCCGCAUACUUUCCAUUGAGCCUAGUUCGGAUUGGCUAGUUGGUGGGGUAAAGGCCUACCAAGGCGACGAUCCGUAACUGGUCUGAGUGGAUGAUCAGUCACACUGGAACGGAGACACGGUCCAGACUCCUACGGGAGGCAGCAGUGGGGAAUAUUGGACAAUGGGCGAAAGCCUGAUGCAGCCAUGCCGCGUGUGUGAAGAAGGUCUUCGGAUUGUAAAGCACUUUAAGUUGGGAGGCGUUACCAGCAGAAUAAGCACCGGCUAACGUCGUGCCAGCAGCCGCGGUAAUUC
rnacentral:rRNA from 1 species